GCCCAGAUGCUGGAAUUGGUAGACAGGCACGCUUGAGGGGCGUGUGUACUUUGUGCGUGAGGGUUCGACUCCCUUUCUGGGCA
rnacentral:tRNA from 1 species